rnacentral:rRNA from 1 species
GACGAACGCUGGCGGCGUGCUUAACACAUGCAAGUCGAACGAUGAUGCUGGAGCUUGCUCCAGUUGAUUAGUGGCGAACGGGUGAGUAACACGUGAGCAAUCUGCCCUUGACUCUGGGAUAACUGCGGGAAACUGUAGCUAAUACCGGAUACUUUCACCGGAAGGCAUCUUUUGGUGAUGAAAGAAUUUCGGUCAGGGAUGAGCUCGCGGCCUAUCAGCUUGUUGGUGAGGUAAUGGCUCACCAAGGCGACGACGGGUAACCGGCCUGAGAGGGUGACCGGUCACACUGGGACUGAGACACGGCCCAGACUCCUACGGGAGGCAGCAGUGGGGAAUAUUGCACAAUGGGCGCAAGCCUGAUGCAGCAACGCCGCGUGAGGGAUGAAGGCCUUCGGGUUGUAAACCUCUUUUAGCAGGGAAGAAGCGAAAGUGACGGUACCUGCAGAAAAAGCACCGGCUAACUACGUGCCAGCAGCCGCAGUAA